rnacentral:rRNA from 1 species
UACGGGGGGGGGCAAGCGUUGUUCGGAAUUACUGGGCGUAAAGGGCUCGUAGGUGGCCAACUAAGUCAGACGUGAAAUCCCUCGGCUUAACCGGGGAACUGCGUCUGAUACUGGAUGGCUUGAGUUUGGGAGAGGGACGCGGAAUUCCAGGUGUAGCGGUGAAAUGUGUAGAUAUCUGGAGGAACACCGGUGGCGAAGGCGGGUCUCUGGGCCGAAACUGACGCUGAGGAGCGAAAAGCGUGGGGAGCAAACAGG